GACGAACGCUGGCGGCGUGCCUAAUACAUGCAAGUCGAACGCAGUUGCGAACGGGUGAGUAACGCGUAGGUAACUGCCUCAUAGCGGGGGAUAACUAUUGGAAACGAUUGCUAAUCCCGCCUACUGUGAGCUGUACCUGCGUUGUAUUAGCUAGUUGGUGAGGUAAAGGUUCACCAAGGCGACGAUACAUAGGCGACCUGAGAAGGUGAUCCGCCAAACUGGGACUUGGGAAAGGGCCAAACUCCGACGGGAGGCAGCAGGAGGGGAUCGUCGGCAAUGGACGGAAAGCUGACCGAGCAACGGCGCGGUGGUGGAGAAGGUUUUCGGAGCGUAAAGCUCUGUUGUGAGAGAAGCGGUAACUAACCAGAAAGGGACGGCUAACUACGUGCCAGCAGCCGCGGUAAUAC
rnacentral:rRNA from 1 species